rnacentral:rRNA from 1 species
GCAGGCUGCAACUCGCCUGCAUGAAGCUGGAAUCGCUAGUAAUCGCAGAUCAGAAUGCUGCGGUGAAUACGUUCCCGGGUCUUGUACACACCGCCCGUCACACCAUGGGAGUCGGAAAUGCCCGAAGCCGGUGACCCAACCAAAAGGAGGGAGCCGUCGAAGGCAGGUCUGAUAACUGGGGUGAAGUCGUAACAAGGUAAC